CCUACGGGAGGCAGCAGUGAGGAAUAUUGGUCAAUGGACGCAAGUCUGAACCAGCCAUGCCGCGUGCAGGAUGACGGCUCUAUGAGUUGUAAACUGCUUUUGUACGAGGGUAAACCCCGAUACGUGUAUCGGGUUGAAAGUAUCGAACGAAUAAGGACCGGCUACAUCCGUGCCAGCAUCCGCGGUAAUACGGAGGGUCCGAGCGUUAUCCGGAUUUAUUGGGUUUAAAGGGUGCGUAGGCGGUUUUAUAAGUUAGAGGUGAAAGGUUGGGGCUCAACCCCGAAACUGCCUCUAAUACUGUGGGACUAGAGAAUACUUGCGGUAGGCGGAAUGUAUGGUGUAGCGGUGAAAUGCUUAGAGAUCAUACAGAACACCGAUUGCGAAGGCAGCUUACCAAACUAUAUCUGACGGUGAGGCACGAAAGCGUGGGUAGCAAACAGGAUUAGAUACCCUUGUAGUC
rnacentral:rRNA from 1 species